rnacentral:rRNA from 1 species
GGUGAAAUAUUUUAUAGCCUGUAGAUGUGCUCGCGUCUGAUUAGCUAGUUGGUGGGGUAAAGGCCUACCAAGGCGACGAUCAGUAGCUGGUCUGAGAGGAUGAUCAGCCACACUGGGACUGAGACACGGCCCAGACUCCUACGGGAGGCAGCAGUGGGGAAUUUUCCGCAAUGGGCGCAAGCCUGACGGAGCAAUACCGCGUGAGGGAGGAAGGCUCUUGGGUCGUAAACCUCUUUUCUCUGGGAAGAAUAACUGACGGUACCAGAGGAAUCAGCAUCGGCUAACUCCGUGCCAGCAGCCGCGGUAAUACGGGGGAUGCAAGCGUUAUCCGGAAUUAUUGGGCGUAAAGCGUCCGCAGGUGGCUAAUCAAGUCUGUUGUCAAAGCGCGGAGCUCAACUCCGUACAGGCGAUGGAAACUGGUUGGCUAGAGUUAGGUAGGGGUAAGAGGAAUUCCCAGUGUAGCGGUGAAAUGCGUAGAUAUUGGGAAGAACACCGGCGG